UGUACUAGUGUGGUCUUGCAGGUGGGCCAUACAACGCCAUCGAGUGAGCCACGUCAUGGGCCGCAGCAGGCAAGUCCGGGUACCCUGGUUCCGAAUGUCGACAAUCGCAAUUUAACACUUGUGUUCGCGAUUUUGAUUUCAUUCCCAAUUUGUUUUGUUUCUCUAGUCACAUAUGGUUUGCAUUUAACGCAUGUGUGUUUCUUUUAGCCUCAAUGGCAUGCAGUUCAUUCUUAAAAAUAAGUAUGGGAUUGGCAUUAGCAUUAAUAAAUUCUUAAUAUAUAUAUAUCACGGCGCGCCCUAUAUAGUGGCGAUGAGACGUUCGUGAGAUCCAGAAACCCACCGACCGAUUAACAAAAAAACACCAACCCCCCCUGCUGCCCCGAUCCCCACCUCCUCCUUCGAUCCACUCCCCCGAAUGCCAGAUCUCGCUGCCACAGCACGCCUCUGGCUCGUCGGCUCCUCCCUGAUCCAGCGGCGUCGAGCUCUUCCCCUCCUGCCACAAGCGCCGCCUGCUCCCUGGCUACGCCGCCGCCCCCUGACCCCGACGCGCCUCCCGCCACCGGCCACCUUGGCCGUGUCGUCGCCCCCCUGAUGCACCUCUCGCUGCCGAUGCUGUCGCCCCUCCCGCCGUCGUCCACUCCGAACCCGUCGCCAUGCCUCGACCCGCAGUACACAAACAACGCCGGCGGCCACCACCUCCAGUGGUUGCACUUUGGCGGCCGCCGGUGGCCUUUCACCAGCGCUGGAGCCACCCCCCGCCCCGGCCCCGUCCCCACGCUUGGAUCCGCAUCGGCGCCGCCCGGUGCCUGGAAACGGCACCAGCUCCACCCGCGCACCUGGAUUCGGUAGCCGCACCACCCCCGUGACUGGAUUCGGCCGCCACGCCGUUCUCGAGCCAGUUCAACAUCCUUUUCCGCAUGAGGAUUUGAACUUCUUUUAAUUUGCAUGAAAAUUGCCUGCAAAAAUUGUGUCUGUAAAUUUCGCUCCUGAAUACAAUUGCAUUCUGAAGAGAAUUUUUUUCCCUGUAGGUGAGGAGAGAAACUCAGUUGUUCUCUCGGCUUCUCUUGACAUUCUUGGCUCAUCCGGAUUGCUGCUCCUUUUGCUCUGUGUGACCUGCCCGUCUUCCGGCUAUGAACGGCCCACUUCUGCUACCUAGCAUGCUGCUGUUGCUUCGCUGCUGCUGCUCUCUAUCCAUGUGCUACUCUCUCUCUGCUUCUCUAUGUGUGCGUGACUGUUACAGUUGCAGCAGCGCCUAAUUAUUGUGGAUCUUGUGGUCAAAUGACCUUUGUCAAGUGUGAUGAUUCUUUGUAUGUCUGUGCAAAAGUAUAAAAUAUACUAUAUAUAUUUCUUCUUGGAA